CCUUGUUGUUCCUACGUCGUGAAGAGGCGAAAUGGGCGAAACUAAUUGUUGGUAAUUUUUGCUUAUAUUCCUGUGAUUUCUUAUACCAAAUUGAGCUUUGUAUAUUAUAUCAUACUGUCAGUCCAUGCUGGCAGUCAUUCCCACAAGUUGACUUAGAGCUCAGUCACUUUCCAUUCAUUACAUCCUCAUGCUGUCAAAAGUCUAAAACUAGUGUAUAAAGCACACAUAUCAUGGAAUACAAAUGUGGGGAGACAAGGUAAGCAUCAGUAUCAUCUAUCACCAGUGGUGAUAGAUGAUAUACACCGUAUGACGUGCACAUCACUGAUCACCACGCUACUGCAACACUUCACAACACUUUUUUAUCAUCAGGAAAUCUCAACAUGAGGAGUAAUGCUGUUUGUUGCUGUGAUUUCCAUUUUUACGGUUUUUUAUCAUGAAAAUUUCAGUGUGCUUGUUAGUAAAGAGCACGUAAUAAU